UUACUUGCAGAAGAAACCAAGAAGCUUCUGAAAAAAGAAUCAACCAUAUUCACGCCAAUUUUGUCUCAGAGACAUCCACAAGCAAUCAUAAUUUCAGCAUCGCUUCUUCACAGGCUUUAUGGGAUCAAAUUGAAACCAUUUCUCGAUGGUGCUGAACAUCUGACUGAGGAUGUUGUAUCAGUGUUUCCGGCUGCUGAUAGUCUUGAGCAGUAUAUAAUGUCACUUAUCGCAUCUGCCUGCGAAGAGGGGAAUGUUGAAGUCAAUUUCAGGAAAUUAACUCCAUACCAGGUUGAAUCUAUAUCUGGAACACUGGUGAUGCGAUGGGUCAAUUCACAACUUGGAAGAAUUUUAGGUUGGGUUGAGCGCACCAUUCAACAAGAGAGAUGGAACCCAAUAUCUCCUCAACAGCGGCAUGGGAGUUCAAUUGUCGAAGUAUAUAGGAUUGUGGAAGAGACAGUUGAUCAAUUUUUUGCUCUUAAAGUUCCAAUGAGGCCUUCAGAAUUGAAUGGGCUGUUUCGGGGCAUUGACAAUGCAUUUCAAGUAUAUUCAAAUCAUGUUGUUGAAAAGUUGGCAUCCAAAGAAGAUUUAAUUCCACCUGUCCCUGUUCUCACACGAUACAGAAAGGAAGCUGGAAUAAAGGCUUUCGUAAAGAAGGAACUAUUUGAUUCUAGGCUGCCUGAUGAGACAAAGCCAAGGGAAAUCAAUGUCCAGACCGCUCGAACUCUUUGUGUUCAGUUGAAUACACUUUAUUAUGCAAUUAGUCAACUGAAUAAGUUAGAAGAUAGCAUUUGGGAGCAAUGGACAAGGAAGAAGCCUCGUGAACAAUUUAUCAGAAAAUCCAUAGAUGAGAAGUCCACAAGUUUCAAGCAGAAGGGUACAUUUGAUGGGAGUAGAAAAGACAUAAAUGCUGCUAUUGACCGCAUUUGUGAAUUCACCGGAACUAAAAUCAUCUUCUGGGACUUGAGGGAGCCAUUCAUUGAAAAUCUAUAUAGACCUAGCGUCUCUCAGUCCAGACUAGAAGCACUAAUUGAACCAAUUGAUACGGAACUAAAUCAACUAUGUGAUAUUAUUGUGGAACCCCUCAGGGAUCGCAUUGUGACGAGUCUCCUUCAGGCUUCGCUGGAUGGCUUACUUCGUGUAAUACUAGAUGGAGGACCAUCACGAGUUUUCUCCCCAGCUGAUGCAAAAUUACUGGAAGAAGAUUUGGAAGUUUUGAAGGAAUUUUUUAUUUCCGGAGGAGAUGGGCUUCCUAGAGGAGUAGUGGAGAAUCAUAUAGCACGAGUUCGUCAUGUAAUUAAGUUGCAUGCCUAUGAGACUCGAGAAUUGAUCGAUGACCUGAAAUCUGCAAGUGGAGUGGAAAGACAGAGUGGUGGAGGCAAAAUAGGUGGUGAUACCCAGACUUUAUUGAGAAUAUUAUGUCAUAGGGGUGACUCGGAGGCAUCCCAGUUCCUCAAGAAACAGUUCAAAAUACCCAAGUCUUCAGUAUAGUGGAGAGUGCCUGUGCUGCGUUCACUUGGAGAUGCAUAGAAGGGUAGAAAAAACAGGAACUGUGUAUCUGUAGCGAUUCUAUUUUGUUCAUAUCAUUUCAAUUCUAUUCUUUUCCAUCCAAAAAAAAAAAAAAACAAAAAAAAUACUUAGGAUAUUUACUUCUUUCAGUGUUCACUAUCUGUAUGCCCAUAAAGGUUUUGUAAUUUGUAUCUAUCUUUGCUUCCUAUUAUUGUUUCCAUAAUUAUAUGACCUUGAU
rnacentral:misc_RNA from 1 species